UACGGGGGGGGCAAGCGUUGUUCGGAAUUACUGGGCGUAAAGGGUUCGUAGGUGGCUUGCUAAGUCAGACGUGAAAUCCCUCAGCUUAACUGGGGAACUGCGUCUGAUACUGGCGAGCUUGAGUGCAGGAGAGGAACGCGGAAUUCCAGGUGUAGCGGUGAAAUGCGCAGAUAUCAGGAGGAACACCGGUGGCGAAGGCGGGUCUCUGGGCCGAUACUGACGCUGAGGAGCGAAAGCAUGGGGAGCGAACAGG
rnacentral:rRNA from 1 species